GGCCAGUCCGAAGGUAAUCAGUUAUCUCAACUGAUUGUUCACAGUCAGUUACAGAUCGAACUCCUUGGUCUAAUCUUUCUCCCUUCUCACUACUGCACUUGACUAGUCUUAA
rnacentral:Y_RNA from 1 species